GAUGAAGAACGCAGCGAAAUGCGAUACUUGGUGUGAAUUGCAGAAUCACGUGAACCAUCGAGUCUUUGAACGCAAGUUGCGCCUCAAGCCAUUAGGUUGAGGGCACGUCUGCCUGGGCGUCACAUAUCGUUGCCUGAUGCCAGUUUCCUCGUGAUGGGUGACUGUGCAGGGCGAAUGAUGGCUUCCCGUGAGCAUUGUUGCCUCAUGGUUGGUUGAAAAUUGAGUCCUUGGUAGGGAGCGCCGUGAUAGAUGGUGGUUGAGUGACGAACGAGACCCAAUCAUGUGAGACCCCUACCGAAUUUGGCCUUCAUGACCCACAUGCGUCUUUGGAACGCUCAUGACGAGACCUCAGGUCAGGCGGGGCUACCCGCUGAGUUUAAGCAUAUCAAUAAGCGGAGGA
rnacentral:misc_RNA from 1 species